GACGAACGCUGGCGGCGUGCUUAACACAUGCAAGUCGAACGGUAAGGCCCUUCGGGGUACACGAGUGGCGAACGGGUGAGUAACACGUGGGUGAUCUGCCCUGCACUUCGGGAUAAGCCUGGGAAACUGGGUCUAAUACCGGAUAGGACUCCUGGCUUCAUGGUUGGGGGUGGAAAGCUUUUGCGGUGUGGGAUGGGCCCGCGGCCUAUCAGCUUGUUGGUGGGGUAAUGGCCUAGCAAGGCGACGACGGGUAGCCGGCCUGAGAGGGUGACUGGUCACACUGGGACGGAGAUACGGCCCAGACUCCUACGGGAGGCAGCAGUGGGGAAUAUUGCACAAUGGGCGCAAGCCUGAUGCAGCGACGCCGCGUGAGGGAUGACGGCCUUCGGGUUGUAAACCUCUUUCAGCUAUGACGAAGCGCAAGUGACGGUAGUAGCAGAAGAAGGACCGGCCAACUACGUGCCAGCCGCCGCGGUAA
rnacentral:rRNA from 1 species